rnacentral:rRNA from 1 species
CCUACGGGAGGCAGCAGUGGGGGAUAUUGCACAAUGGGGGAAACCCUGAUGCAGCGACGCCGCGUGGGUGAAGAAGCGCCUCGGCGCGUAAAGCCCUGUCAGCAGGGAAGAAAAUGACGGUACCUGAAGAAGAAGCCCCGGCUAACUACGUGCCAGCAGCCGCGGUAAUACGUAGGGGGCAAGCGUUAUCCGGAUUUACUGGGUGUAAAGGGGGCGCAGACGGCGAUGCAAGCCAGGAGUGAAAGCCCGGGGCCCAACCCCGGGACUGCUUUUGGAACUGCGUGGCUAGAGUGCAGGAGAGGCAGGCGGAAGGCCUGGUGUAGCGGUGAAAUGCGUAGAUAUCAGGAGGAACACCGGUGGCGAAGGCAGCCUGCUGGACUGCAACUGACGUUGAGGCCCGAAAGCGUGGGGAGCAAACAGGAUUAGAUACCCCAGUAGUC